AAAUUAUUAAUUUAUUAUUAAAUUAUUAUUUUUUGUUUUUAAUAAAAAUAAUUUUAUUAAAUAUUUUUUUAAGUAUAUUUUAUAGAAAAAAAAAAAAUAAUUAUAGUUUAUUUGUAUUGUAAAAGAAAAUUGAAAUAUAUAUUAAUUAUUUAUAAGUAAAAUUUAAUUUUUGUACCUUGUGUAUCAGGGUUUAUUAAAAAAUUAUUAUUGAGAAUAAUUUUCUCGAUUUUAAGAGAGUUAAUAAAUUAUAUUUUUUAUUGUAAAAAAAAUAUUUAGAAUAAUUUAUUAGUAAUGAAAUGUUAUUCGUUCUUUAAUAUAUCUAGUUUAUUUAGAAAUGAAUUUAAUUCGGAUAUUAAUUUUUUUAUUUAUUUAUUUAUUAAUAAAUAAGAUUUUAAUAUUAAUAAUUAAAGGGAUUAGCUUUUGAUUAAAUUUUUAUAAAAUAUAUUUAUUAAUUAAUAUAAGUAAGUUUAGAAAUAUCUAUCUAUAAUAAUUUGUUAUAAUUAAUUUAGUAUUAAGAUAUAAUUUUAUAUGUUUUUAAAUUUUUUAUAAAUAAAUAAUUUUUAAUUAUUAAAAAUUAGUUAUAAUGAUAAAAUUAGUAUAUAUAUAUAUAUAUAUAAUAGUAGAAAAUAAUUUAUUUAAAGGAAUUCGGCAAAAAUAAUUACUCGCCUGUUUAACAAAAACAUGUCCUUUAGAUAUUUAUUUAAGGUCUAACCUGCCCACUGAUUUUUAAAUGGCCGCAGUAAUUUGACUGUGCAAAGGUAGCAUAAUCAUUAGUUUUUUAAUUAAAAGCUUGUAUGAAAGGUUGAACGAAGUAAAAUCUGUCUCUAUUUAAUUUAUAUUAGAAUUUAAUUUUUAAGUUAAAAAGCUUAAAUUUUUAUAAAAGACGAGAAGACCCUAUAAAGUUUAAUAAUUAUUAGUUUUAUUUUUAAUUAAGUUUAUUUUAUAAUUUAUAAUUAAAAUUAUUUUAUUGGGGUAAUAUAAAGGUUAAUAUAAUCCUUUAUUAUUUUUUACAUUAAUUUAUGAAUUUAAAUGAUCCAUUAUUAUUGAUUAAAAGAUUAAAUUACUUUAGGGAUAACAGCGUAAUUUUUUUAAAGAGUUCUUAUCGAUAAAAAAGUUUGCGACCUCGAUGUUGGAUUAAAGAUUAAUUUAGGUGUAGAAGUUUAAAUUUUUGGUCUGUUCGACCAUUGAAUCUUUACAUGAUCUGAGUUCAGACCGGUGUAAGCCAGGUCGGUUUCUAUCUUUAUUAAAAAUAUAAUAUUUUAGUACGAAAGGACCAAAUAUUUAAUAUAAUUAUAUUUAAAAGUUGAAUAUAAAUAAAU
rnacentral:rRNA from 1 species